GAUGAACGCUGGCGGCGUGCCUAAUACAUGCAAGUCGAGCGAACGGACGAGAAGCUUGCUUCUCUGAUGUUAGCGGCGGACGGGUGAGUAACACGUGGAUAACCUACCUAUAAGACUGGGAUAACUUCGGGAAACCGUAGCUAAUACCGGAUAAUAUUUUGAACCGCAUGGUUCAACAGUGAAAGACGGUCUUGCUGUCACUUAUAGAUGGAUCCGCGCUGCAUUAGCUAGUUGGUAAGGUAACGGCUUACCAAGGCAACGAUGCAUAGCCGACCUGAGAGGGUGAUCGGCCACACUGGAACUGAGACACGGUCCAGACUCCUACGGGAGGCAGCAGUAGGGAAUAUUCCGCAAUGGGCGAAAGCCUGACGGAGCAACGCCGCGUGAGUGAUGAAGGUCUUCGGAUCGUAAAACUCUGUUAUUAGGGAAGAACAUAUGUGUAAGUAACUGUGCACAUCUUGACGGUACCUACUCAGAAAGCCACGGCUAACUACGUG
rnacentral:rRNA from 1 species